UACGAGAGGCCCAAACGUUAUUCGGAAUUACUGGGCUUAAAGAGUUCGUAGGCGGCGCAGAAAGUAGGGUGUGAAAGCCCUCGGCUCAACCGAGGAAUUGCGCUCUAAACUACUGUGCUUGAGGAAGCUAGAGGUGAGCAGAACAGAUGGUGGAGCGGUGAAAUGCGUUGAUAUCAUCUGGAAUACCGGAGGCGAAGGCGGCUCACUGGGGCUUUUCGACGC
rnacentral:rRNA from 1 species